rnacentral:rRNA from 1 species
GCGAAAGCCUGACGGAGCAAUACCGCGUGGGGGAGGAAGGCUCUUGGGUUGUAAACUCCUUUUCUCAGGGAAGAAGGUCUGACGGUACCUGAGGAAUCAGCAUCGGCUAACUCCGUGCCAGCAGCCGCGGUAAUACGGAGGAUGCAAGCGUUAUCCGGAAUCAUUGGGCGUAAAGCGUCCGUAGGUGGCAUUUCAAGUCUGCUGUCAAAGGUCGGGGCUUAACUCCGAACAGGCAGUGGAAACUGAGAAGCUAGAGUAUGGUAGGGGCAGAGGGAAUUCCUGGUGUAGCGGUGAAAUGCGUAGAGAUCAGGAAGAACACCGGUGGCGAAAGCGCUCUGCUAGGCCAUAACUGACACUCAGGGACGAAAGCUAGGGGAGCG